rnacentral:misc_RNA from 1 species
GCAAACUUGGUCAUUUAGAGGAAGUAAAAGUCGUAACAAGGUUUCCGUAGGUGAACCUGCGGAAGGAUCAUUGACGAAAUUCAAGGCGGAGACUCGACUGUGCUGGCCCACACCGGGCAUGUGCACGUCCCGUCCCCGUCCAUCUCACACACACCCGUGCACUCCUUGAGGGAACGGUGCAUUCGUAGGGUUUGCCGGCAGCCGUCGGCUCUCCCCGGAGUCUGUCCCUUCCUUCUACUUUUCACACACACCUCAGACAUGUCCCGCACGUCCUUUGAUGUAAUCCAAUACAACUUUCAACAACGGAUCUCUUGGCUCUCGCAUCGAUGAAGAACGCAGC